UGGGGAAUAUUGCACAAUGGGCGAAAGCCUGAUGCAGCAACGCCGCGUGAGGGACGACGGCCUUCGGGUUGUAAACCUCUUUUAGCAAGGAAGAAGCGAAAGUGACGGUACUUGCAGAAAAAGCGCCGGCUAACUACGUGCCAGCAGCCGCGGUAAUACGUAGGGCGCAAGCGUUAUCCGGAAUAUUGGGCGUAAGAGCUCGUAGGCGGUUUGUCGCGUCUGCUGUGAAAACCCGAGGCUCAACCUCGGGCCUGCAGUGGGUACGGGCAGACUAGAGUGCGGUAGGGGAGAUUGGAACUCCUGGUGUAGCGGUGGAAUGCGCAGAUAUCAGGAAGAACACCGAUGGCGAAGGCAGAUCUCUGGGCCGUAACUGACGCUGAGGAGCGAAA
rnacentral:rRNA from 1 species